rnacentral:rRNA from 1 species
AGUGAACGCUGGCGGUAGGCCUAACACAUGCAAGUCGAGCGGCAGCAACGUAAGAGCUUGCUCUUACGUGUGGCUAGUGGCGGACGGGUGAGGAAUACAUCGGAAUCUACUUUUUAGUGCGGGAUAACGUCGUUACACUAGCGCUAAUACUACAUAAGACCUACUGUUGAAAGCAGGUGAUCUUCGGACCUUGUUCGUUUGAAUGAGCCGAUGUCGGAUUAGCUAGUUGUCGGGGCAAGGUACCACCAAGGCGACGAUCCGUACCUGAUCGGAUAUGAUGAGCAGCCACACUGGAACUGAGACACGGUACAGACUCAUACGGGAGGCAGCAGUGGGGAAUAUAGGACAAGGGGAGCAAGCCUGAUCCAGCCAUACCGCGUGGGUGAAGAAGGCAUUCGGGUUGUAAAGCUAAUUUGUUGGGAAAGAAAAGCAGCAGGUGAAUACCCAGCUGUUCUGACGGUACCCAAAGAAUAAGCACCGGCUAACUUCGUG